GCUGGAUUCUGUAUUUUGUGUGUGUGUGUGUGUGUGUGUGUAUAUAUAUAUAUAUACACACACACGCGCACACACACAGUAAUUACUCACUAC